GGCGGCGUGCUUAACACAUGCAAGUCGAGCGGAAAGGCCCUUCGGGGGUACUCGAGCGGCGAACGGGUGAGUAACACGUGAGUAACCUGCCCCUGACUCUGGGAUAAGCCCGGGAAACUGGGUCUAAUACCGGAUACGACCACUCCUGGCAUCGGGUGGUGGUGGAAAGUUUUUUCGGUCGGGGAUGGGCUCGCGGCCUAUCAGCUUGUUGGUGGGGUAGUGGCCUACCAAGGCGACGACGGGUAGCCGGCCUGAGAGGGCGACCGGCCACACUGGGACUGAGACACGGCCCAGACUCCUACGGGAGGCAGCAGUGGGGAAUAUUGCGCAAUGGGCGGAGGCCUGAGCCAGCGACGCCGCGUGGGGGAUGACGGCCUUCGGGUUGUAAACCUCUUUCAGCAGGGACGAAGUUGACGUGUACCUGCAGAAGAAGCGCCGGCUAACUACGUGCCAGCAGCCGCGGUAAUACGUAGGGCGCAAGCGUUGUCCGGAAUUAUUGGGCGUAAAGAGCUCGUAGGUGGCUGGUCGCGUCUGCCGUGAAAGCCCGCAGCUUAACUGCGGGUCUGCGGUGGAUACGGGCCGGCUAGAGGUAGGCAGGGGCAAGUGGAAUUCCUGGUGUAGCCGGUGAAAUGCGCAGAUAUCAGGAGGAACACCGGUGGCGAAGGCGGCUUGCUGGGCCUUACCUGACGCUGAGGAGCGAAAGCGUGGGGAGCGAACAGGAUUAGAUACCCUGGUAGUCCACGCUGUAAACGUUGGGCGCUAGGUGUGGGGGUCUUCCACGAUCUCGUGCCGGAGCUAACGCAUUAAGCGCCCCGCCUGGGGAGUACGGCCGC
rnacentral:rRNA from 1 species